AAAAAAAAGCACGUGACCUUAUGAGACUCUCGCUGUAUUGCUAUUUUGGUUAUUUUAAGGACUAUAAAGAGCUUGAUUUGAAAUUAUGCAGGGCCCCUAUGUGGGAUUUUUUUAAAAAGCAAACUGGUGUGUAUUCUCAUGUGUUUUGCACAGCCCAGCCUCACAGCAAUAUUAUAAACCCUGCUCUUUCUGUCUCGCUAAACAGGGUUUUUUGUUUGUUUUCGUUUUUCUGGUUGUUUUUGUUAUUAUUGUUUUACAGCUGAAACCAACCAGCAAGUCUUUGAUGACCAAGAGGCAUUUCUUUCAAAGCUAUAGGGCACAAACAAUUGACCAUAGAAGACUCUGUUUGCAUUCUUCUGCAGAAUUAUUUCCUUCAGGGACAGAUUUUCCAACCUAAGAAACUACCUACUGUGUGUAUUCUCUUGAUGGGGAGAGAUGAACCCUUCAGCUGCUAAGAUCCAAGAAAAUGCCUCACUGCCUUAACCUUAACUGUUCUUCCUGGCGCUAAAAAGAGCUGUAUUUUUUAAAGUGCUGGGGCAAACAAAGCAACCCCAAAAGAGUUGAUGUGUGUUUUAAAAGAAAAAACCCAAUGAGGAGCAACUGGAGAUUUUUAUGCAGAAACUAAAUAAUCCUUAAUAAAUAAAUCUCUAUUUUGGAA
rnacentral:lncRNA from 10 species